rnacentral:rRNA from 1 species
UACGUAGGGGGCAAGCGUUGUCCGGAAUCAUUGGGCGUAAAGAGCGUGUAGGCGGCCCGGUAAGUCCGCUGUGAAAGUCCAGGGCUCAACCCUGGGAUGCCGGUGGAUACUGUCGGGCUCGAGUCCGGAAGAGGCGAGUGGAAUUCCUGGUGUAGCGGUGAAAUGCGCAGAUAUCAGGAGGAACACCGAUGGCGAAGGCAGCUCGCUGGGACGGUACUGACGCUGAGGCGCGAAAGCGUGGGGAGCAAACAGG